GAACACCGGUUCCCGUAGAAUCACUGAAGUUAAGCAACGUCGAGCCUGGUCAGUACCUAGAUGGGUGACCACGUGAGAAUACCAGGAACUGCAA